rnacentral:rRNA from 1 species
UACGUAGGGGGCGAGCGUUGUCCGGAAUCAUUGGGCGUAAAGCGCGUGUAGGCGGCCCGGUAAGUCCGCUGUGAAAGUCCAGGGCUCAACCCUGGGAUGCCGGUGGAUACUGUCGGGCUCGAGUCCGGAAGAGGAGAAUGGAAUUCCCGGUGUAGCGGUGAAAUGCGCAGAUAUCGGGAAGAACACCCGUGGCGAAGGCGGCUCUCUGGGACGGUACUGACGCUGAGACGCGAAAGCGUGGGGAGCGAACAGG